rnacentral:rRNA from 1 species
CUAUACAUGACUCUGCGCAUAUCAAUAAGCGGAGGAAAAGAAACUAACAAGGAUUCCCCUAGUAACGGCGAGUGAAGCGGGAAGAGCUCAAAUUUGAAAUCUUAAAGGGUUUCCCUUUACGAAUUGUAGUUUAAAGAAGUGUUUUCUGUUGAGGUUUUGGUAAAAGUUCUUUGGAAUAGGACAUCAUAGAGGGUGAGAAUCCCGUAUUUGACCUUUACUUUCAACUUUGUGAUACACUUUCAAAGAGUCGGAUUGUUUGGGAAUGCAGUCCAAAAUGGGUGGUAAAUUUCAUCUAAAGCUAAAUAUUGGCGAGAGACCGAUAGCGAACAAGUACCGUGAGGGAAAGAUGAAAAGAACUUUGAAAAGAGAGUUAAACAGUACGUGAAAUUGUCAAAAGGGAAGCGUUUGACACCAGUGUUGUUUUUCUGAAAAUCAAUUAAAGAACUGUUUAUGCUAAGUUGUUUAGACUUUAUCAGCUAACUGUUUAGUUUUGAGCUUUUCUUUAAUGCACUUUUCAGUUAACAAGUCAACAUCAAUUUCUUUUGCUGUAAAAAGCUUGAGGAAGGUGGCUUGAGAUUCGUCUUAAGUGUUUAUAGCCUCUUGCCUAUGCAGUCGGAGAGAUUGAGGUCUGCAGCGUAGAUCCUUCGGGGCUAAAUGCAUUUGUGCUAAGUUAUAGCAUUUUAUAGACAACUUGUUGACUAUGAUUUGUCUUGUAGCUUACUCGCUUAUGUUAUUUUACCUACGCUUAGGAUGUUGAGCGCAUGUCUCUCUCU